CCUACGGGGCGCAGCAGUGGGGAAUAUUGGACAAUGGGGGAAACCCUGAUCCAGCGACGCCGCGUGAGUGAAGAAGUAUUUCGGUAUGUAAAGCUCUAUCAGCAGGGAAGAAAAUGACGGUACCUGACUAAGAAGCCCCGGCUAACUACGUGCCAGCAGCCGCGGUAAUACGUAGGGGGCAAGCGUUAUCCGGAUUUACUGGGUGUAAAGGGAGCGUAGACGGCAUAGCAAGUCUGAUGUGAAAGAUCGGGGCUCAACCUCGGGCCUGCAUUGGACACUGUUAAGCUUGAGUACAGGAGAGGUAA
rnacentral:rRNA from 1 species